rnacentral:rRNA from 1 species
AAAGGGCGCGUAGGCGGCUGUCACAGUCAGGCGUGAAAUUCCUGGGCUCAACCUGGGGACUGCGCUUGAGACGUGACGGCUUGAGUGGGGAAGAGGGUCGUGGAAUUCCCAGUGUAGAGGUGAAAUUCGUAGAUAUUGGGAAGAACACCGGUGGCGAAGGCGGCGACCUGGUCCUUGACUGACGCUGAGGCGCGAAAGCGUGGGGAGCAAACAGGAUUAGAUACCCUUGU